UGGGCAGAAGCACCUUGCUUUAGUUAGAUGCAGGCAUGGGUUCAUAAUUUUCCAUUGGCUUGCUCUCGAUUGCUUUCUCCUCACCAGCUGGGCCAUUAGUAUUAUUCUGAGCAGGUGGCUAAUUUCUUUCCAUGCUGUCUAUAGGAAGCCAGGUGGGCCUUUGUGUUUUUUGGGUUAGGAGCAACUGACAUGCUCUUGGUUUCAUAGCUGUGAGCAGUGCUUCAAAAGCAAAAUUCUGCAGAAGAAGCAUAACUCCUGAGAGGUUUUAACCUCCCGAUGCAUUCAGUGUCCUGUCAAAUGGCAGCUUCAGUUCUGGAGGGCCCAAGAUAUGAAGUCUUCAAUGCCUCCGUGUUCUACCUCCUUGCUAGAAUGAGAAGGAUAUUCAGUAGUUCUGCAGAUUUUGAUUUUUCUAUGUAUGCUGGAAAUGAUGGCCACCAGCAGAAGAGACAGAGAUGGUACCUGGAGCUUCUCAGUUACUGGUGGCUUCGCGCAAGGCUAGCAGCAAAUAUAUGUUCAGAUUCUGCCCAAAUUCUGCCCAAAGUAAAAGGAACUCCAUGCAGAGACUGUAAAGGAAACAAAUGUGCAGAAAAAAGCAAUCAGAGAGGAAAGCUAAUGCAAGAAUGAAGUAAGAAGUGUAUUGUAUGUGCUGUAUAUGGUAAAGACUGGACAAAGCAAAUUAAACACUUUCACUAGGACUAGCAUACUCGUUAAGGAAAUACAAAACUGUCAACAAGAAGAGAAAAUGUCAUGAAAUGUCAGCAGCAGAAUAGCUACAAAAUGAAAUGGAACAUUUUCCUUGGGAUAAAAGCUUCAUAAACUCCAUGAAAUUCUUCCAAUCAAGUUCUAAAAGAACAAGAACAAAGCCUGAGGGAGAAAAUGUCAAUGCUAAUAGACAGUCAAAUGGAAAACAGUCCUAUUGGGCAGAAAGAAAAAUAAAUGUAUCCAAAGUAACA
rnacentral:lncRNA from 1 species